rnacentral:rRNA from 1 species
AUUCAACGCUGGCGGCAGGCCUAACACAUGCGAGUCGAGCGGAUGAAGGGAGCUUGCUCCUGGAUUCAGCGGCGGACGGGUGAGUAAUGCCUAGGAAUCUGCCUGGUAGUGGGGGAUAACGUCCGGAAACGGGCGCUAAUACCGCAUACGUCCUGAGGGAGAAAGUGGGGGAUCUUCGGACCUCACGCUAUCAGAUGAGCCUAGGUCGGAUUAGCUAGUUGGUGGGGUAAAGGCCUACCAAGGCGACGAUCCGUAACUGGUCUGAGAGGAUGAUCAGUCACACUGGAACUGAGACACGGUCCAGACUCCUACGGGAGGCAGCAGUGGGGAAUAUUGGACAACGGGCGAAAGCCUGAUCCAGCCAUGCCGCGUGUGUGAAGAAGGUCUUCGGAUUGUAAAGCACUUUAAGUUGGGAGGAAGGGCAGUAAGUUAAUACCUUGCUGUUUUGACGUUACCAACAGAAUAAGCACCGGCUAACUUCGUG